GCCUCGGUAGCGCAGUAGGCAGCGCGUCAGUCUCAUAAUCUGAAGGUCGUGAGUUCGAUCCUCACUCUCGGCA
rnacentral:tRNA from 1 species